GGGUGCAUAGCUCAGUUGGUUAGAGCACCUCCCUUACAAGGAGGUGGCCGGGGGUUCGAGUCCCUCUGCACCCA
rnacentral:tRNA from 1 species